rnacentral:lncRNA from 1 species
CCGCCUUCUGCAGAAAGGCCUUGACAGCCACCGAGCAUUUCGAGAUGUGGGGCGAUGGCAAGCAAACUCGCUCCUUCACCUUCAUCGACGAGUGUGUAGAGGGCGUCUUGCGCUUGACGAAGUCCGACUUCCAAGAGCCUGUAAAUAUCGGUAGCGAUGAGAUGGUGAGCAUGAACGAGAUGGCCGAGAUUGUGCUCAGCUUCGACAACAAGCAGCUCCCGAUCAAGCACAUUCCCGGACCCGAGGGAGUGCGGGGACGAAACUCUGAUAACACUCUGAUCAAGGAGAAGCUCGGCUGGGCUCCAUCCAUGCGACUCAGGGACGGACUCGCCAUCACCUACAAGUGGAUCAAGGAGCAGAUUGAGAAGGAGAAGGAGUCCGGUGCAGACCUUGCAUCCAAGUAUGGAUCUUCCAAGGUGGUCGGUACCCAAGCUCCAGUGCAGCUGGGCUCUUUGAGAGCUGCUGAUGGCAAGGAGUAAACCA